rnacentral:tRNA from 1 species
GCGCCCGUAGCUCAGCAGGAUAGAGCAUCGGUUUCCUAAACCGAAGGUCGGAGGUUCGAGUCCUCCCGGGCGUA